rnacentral:rRNA from 1 species
GUCUAUGGCCAUGCUACCCUGAACAAGCCCAAUUCCAUCUGAUCUCAGAAGCUAAGCAGAAUUGGUCCUGGUUAGUACUUGGAUGGGAGACCACCUAGGAAGACCAGGUGCUGUAGGUG